rnacentral:lncRNA from 1 species
AUGCCAGCACUCCACUCCCAGGACUGUUGCAUUCAGUGCCCCGACCCCACAGCAGGCUGCUGGAGACUCCUGGACACUCACAGGGAAAGAGACAGGAACAGCAACAGGAGACCUCAGAGAGACAGACGUGCCCCAAACUAUACCCUCGGGGGAGCUGCCUGCAGGGAUCUGGUUAAGAACAGAAUCCUGAGCUCCUUGAGCGAUUCGUGCCAGGGUUGGAGACCAGUGCCUCUGAACAGGAAAAAAAGAGCUGCAGAGAGACCCGGCUAUGAUCACAGAGUCCACAGCUCUGUCAAAGUCUCUGAGGGCUUCAGAAGCAACAAAGCUGAUCUCUAA